rnacentral:rRNA from 1 species
UAGUGGCGAACGGGUGAGUAACACGUGGGCAAUCUGCCCUUCACUCUGGGACAAGCCCUGGAAACGGGGUCUAAUACCGGAUAACACCUGCCCGGGCAUCCGGGUGGGUUAAAAGCUCCGGCGGUGAAGGAUGAGCCCGCGGCCUAUCAGCUUGUUGGUGAGGUAGUGGCUCACCAAGGCGACGACGGGUAGCCGGCCUGAGAGGGCGACCGGCCACACUGGGACUGAGACACGGCCCAGACUCCUACGGGAGGCAGCAGUGGGGAAUAUUGCACAAUGGGCGAAAGCCUGAUGCAGCGACGCCGCGUGAGGGAUGACGGCCUUCGGGUUGUAAACCUCUUUCAGCAGGGAAGAAGCGAAAGUGACGGUACCUGCAGAAGAAGCGCCGGCUAACUACGUGCCAGCAGCCGCGGUAAUACGUAGGGCGCAAGCGUUGUCCGGAAUUAUUGGGCGUAAAGAGCUCGUAGGCGGCUUGUCACGUCGGGUGUGAAAGCCCGGGGCUUAACCCCGGGUCUGCAUUCGAUACGGGCUAGCUAGAGUGUGGUAGGGGA